rnacentral:rRNA from 1 species
CAGGCCUAACACAUGCAAGUCGAACGAAGGCUUCGGCCUUAGUGGCGCACGGGUGCGUAACGCGUGGGAAUCUGCCCUGGGGUUCGGGAUAACCGUUGGAAACGACGGCUAAUACCGGAUGAUAUCGAGAGAUCAAAGAUUUAUCGCCCUGGGAUGAGCCCGCGUAGGAUUAGGUAGUUGGUGUGGUAAAGGCGCACCAAGCCGACGAUCCUUAGCUGGUCUGAGAGGAUGAUCAGCCACACUGGGACUGAGACACGGCCCAGACUCCUACGGGAGGCAGCAGUGGGGAAUAUUGGACAAUGGGCGCAAGCCUGAUCCAGCAAUGCCGCGUGAGUGAUGAAGGCCUUAGGGUUGUAAAGCUCUUUUACCCGUGAUGAUAAUGACAGUAGCGGGAGAAUAAGCUCCGUCUAACUCCGUGCCAGCAGCCGCGGUAAU